rnacentral:rRNA from 1 species
GACGGCUUCCGUAGGUGAACCUGCGGAGGGAUCAUUACUGAGUUUACGCUCUAUAACCCUUUGUGAACAUACCUAUAACUGUUGCUUCGGCGGGUAGGGUCUCCGCGACCCUCCCGGCCUCCCGCCUCCGGGCGGGUCGGCGCCCGCCGGAGGAUAACCAAACUCUGAUUUAACGACGUUUCUUCUGAGUGGUACAAGCAAAUAAUCAAAACUUUUAACAACGGAUCUCUUGGUUCUGGCAUCGAUGAAGAACGCAGCGAAAUGCGAUAAGUAAUGUGAAUUGCAGAAUUCAGUGAAUCAUCGAAUCUUUGAACGCACAUUGCGCCCGCCAGCAUUCUGGCGGGCAUGCCUGUUCGAGCGUCAUUUCAACCCUCAAGCUCUGCUUGGUGUUGGGGCCCUACAGCUGAUGUAGGCCCUCAAAGGUAGUGGCGGACCCUCCCGGAGCCUCCUUUGCGUAGUAACUUUACGUCUCGCACUGGGAUCCGGAGGGACUCUUGCCGUAAAACCCCCCAAUUUCCAAAGGUUGACCUCGGAUCAGUAGGAUCCG